GCCAGCACUUCGAUGCCAGAGUGGUUUGCCUUCAGUGAUUGUAACCCUGAACUUUGGAAUUACUUUGCUAAACACUGACUACGUGCCUGGAAGUUUCUGGACAACCAAGAUUACCUACGCACUGAGGACUUCGUCUCCUAAUUACUGCUUCCAUCUGGAUUCAGACCAAGCUGGCAGUUUCCUGCUUCCUCCGUUUCCUGGACCAAGGUAUAAGGGUACCAUGUCCACCCUCCAACACAAGUAUCUGCAUAUUGAGCUCACUCCUGAAAUUACCAAGCUCAUUCAAACAGCACCAAAGACAUCACCUGAACAACUUCGGUUUCGACAACCUGGACUCCAUAUUCCUCUACCCCUGGCGACCUGAGCGCACCCACUUAUUGAAGAUUCUUCAGUUCAAGUCCCUUGAUUGUUUCUGGCACAAUAAAACAUUAUUUCACUUAAUCUA